rnacentral:rRNA from 1 species
UGGGGAAUAUUGGGCAAUGGGCGCAAGCCUGACCCAGCAACGCCGCGUGAUUGAAGAAGGUCUUCGGAUUGUAAAAAUCUGUCCUUGGGGACGAAAAAAAUGACGGUACCCAAGGAGGAAGCCCCGGCUAACUACGUGCCAGCAGCCGCGGUAAUACGUAGGGGGCAAGCGUUGUCCGGAAUUACUGGGCGUAAAGGGUGCGUAGGCGGCGCUUUAAGUCAGAUGUGAAAUACCCAGGCUUAACCUGGGGGGUGCAUUUGAAACUGGAGCACUUGAGUGCAGGAGAGGAAAGUGGAAUUCCUAGUGUAGCGGUGAAAUGCGUAGAUAUUAGGAGGAACACCAGUGGCGAAGGCGACUUUCUGGACUGUAACUGACGCUGAGGCACGAAAGCGUGGGGAGCAAACA